CGCUCAGACCAAUCGGAGUUCACGGCGAAACAUUGUAAACAACUCUUACACGUUGUUAUAAAGCUUAUCUUCGUGUAUUUACUACAAAGGACCCGACGGUGCUGCAGCCAAGUGAGUGAACGGUGCCAAAACAGUCAUCCAGAUGUUGAAAUCCAACACCACUCAAAGUAUUUAUGAAGACAAGUGGACUCAUACGAUACAAUGCAGAAAGAAGCAGCAACAAAAUGCCUGCCCACCUGAUGUGGCCUUACAUAAGACCUCAUGCUUGGAUCAGCUUCUCUUGUGGCACACCUGAGUGAUGUCAUAAACAUGGCUGAAAUGACCAGCGAAGAUCUGAGCCCACUUAUGAGCAGUCCAAGCUUUCAAUUGUGUGCAUGAAAAACCAGGAGAGAGAAUCUGCAGUCAGACUCCACCUGAGCUCUAUACCUGCUCUGGGUUUGUCUCGGGUGUUCAUCAACUGAGGAUGUGAGUUCCAUCAGCCUGUGCUCACAAGAACAUCUAUCACUCCGAUCAGUCAGAGUUGUUGUGAAGAGGCAAAGUGAUCUGGCAUAAGAUCUGUCGCCAAGUCCUCCAUAUUUAUGUCACCAAAUUAUUUGGUGGCCACUGAAUUUGGGACCUCCCGUGGAGCUGUGGGAACUGUUGGCAGUUAAUGUAAAGCCAGCUCCUCACUGUGAAACAAUUUUUGUGAUGCUUUGCUGCCAUCGUCACCUGUAAUACCCAACUGAAAUGAAAACGUUUUUAUGGAAUAAAACGCAGUAGAUUUACCA